rnacentral:rRNA from 1 species
AUUGAACGCUGGCGGCAGGCCUAACACAUGCAAGUCGAGCGGAUGAAGGGAGCUUGCUCCUGGAUUCAGCGGCGGACGGGUGGGUAAUGCCUAGGAAUCUGCCUGGUAGUGGGGGAUAACGUCCGGAAACGGGCGCUAAUACCGCAUACGUCCUGAGGGAGAAAGUGGGGGAUCUUCGGACCUCACGCUAUCAGAUGAGCCUAGGUCGGAUUAGCUAGUUGGUGGGGUAAAGGCCUACCAAGGCGACGAUCCGUAACUGGUCUGAGAGGAUGAUCAGUCACACUGGAACUGAGACACGGUCCAGACUCCUACGGGAGGCAGCAGUGGGGAAUAUUGGACAAUGGGCGAAAGCCUGAUCCAGCCAUGCCGCGUGUGUGAAGAAGGUCUUCGGAUUGUAAAGCAUUUUAAGUUGGAGGAAGGGCAGUAAGUUAAUACCUUGCUGUUUUGACGUUACCAACAGAAUAAGCACCGGCUAACUUCGUG